rnacentral:rRNA from 1 species
AACGUAGGAGACGAACGUUAUCCGGAGUUACUGGGCGUAAAGGGCGUGUAGGCGGUUUGUUAAGUCUGGCGUGAAAGCUCUCGGCUAAACCGGGAGAGGUCGUUGGAUACUGGCGAACUCGAGGAUGGUAGAGGCGUGUGGAAUUCCGGGUGUAGUGGUGAAAUGCGCAGAUAUCGGGAGGAACACCAAUGGCGAAGGCAGCUCGCUGGGACGGUACUGACGCUGAGACGCGAAAGCGUGGGGAGCAAACAGG